UACGGAGGGUGCAAACGUUGCUCGGAAUCAUUGGGCGUAAAGCGCACGUAGGCGGUCUGUUAAGUCGGAUGUGAAAGCCCCGGGCUCAACCCGGGAAGUGCAUACGAAACUGGCGGACUUGAAUAUGGAAGAGGGUCGCGGAAUUCCCGGUGUAGAGGUGAAAUUCGUAGAUAUCGGGAGGAACACCAGUGGCGAAGGCGGCGACCUGGGCCGAUACUGACGCUGAGGAGCGAAAGCGUGGGGAGCGAACAGG
rnacentral:rRNA from 1 species